CAGCGAAAUCGAAUCUGUUUUCUCCGCGUAUCUGCACAUCUAGCUCAUAUGCUACCCAGGAAUUGACGACAAGAAUUUAUUCUUUUCCGCUGGAGCAUUCCCGACCGAGUUUCGACAACAAUAUCACGAUAGUCUAUAGCUUUAUCUAUGUCUCCGACAACCAAUGCAGCAACUUCAAAUGUGGUGGGAAUUCAAAGAAAACCAAGAAAAAGCAUACCUGAACACAGGUGUAAAUUUGAUCCAGUGGGUGGAAAAUUCAUCGGCGACGACCUUCCUAAACUAUAAGGGGAGAAGCAACAACGUUGAUUAGGGCUUCAAUUUUCAAAGAAGUAAAAAGAUAAGGAUAAGCAUCAGCAAUAGGAAAGAGGAAAUGGCAAUGGGAAAGAGGAGAUGAAGCAAGAAACCUUAAAAGUGAUCUCACCGUUUGC